UAAUACGUAGGGAGCGAGCGUUGUUCGGAUUUACUGGGCGUAAAGAGUACGUAGGCGGUUAUAUAAGUCAAAAGUGAAAUCCCUGUUCCCAAGACAGGAACUGCUUUUGAUACUGUAUGACUAGAGUGCAGGAGAGGGAAACGGAACUCUGAGAGUAGCGGUGAAAUGUGUAGAUAUUCAGAGGAACGCCAGUGGCGAAGGCGGUUUCCUAGCCUGCUUCUGACGCUGAGGUACGAAAGCUAGGGUAGCGAUCGGGAUUAGAGACCCCGGUAGUCCUAGCCGUAAACGAUGGAUACUAAGUGUGGGGGGAGCAUUACCCUCCGUGCUGAAGCUAACGCGUUAAGUAUCCCGCCUGGGGAGUACAGUUGCAAGACUG
rnacentral:rRNA from 1 species